UAGGGCUAGCCUCAAGUGAUGAUUAUUGGAGGUAGAGCACUGUUUGGACGAGGGGCCCCUCUCGGGUUACCGAAUUCAGACAAACUCCGAAUGCCAAUUAAUUUAACUUGGGAGUCAGAACAUGGGUGAUAAGGUCCGUGUUCGAAAGGGAAACAGCCCAGACCACCAGCUAAGGUCCCAAAAUAUAUGUUAAGUGGAAAAGGAUGUGGCGUUGCCCAGACAACUAGGAUGUUGGCUUAGAAGCAGCCAUCAUUUAAAGAGUGCGUAAUAGCUCACUAGUCGAGUGACACUGCGCCGAAAAUGUACCGGGGCUAAACAUAUUACCGAAGCUGUGGAUUGUCCUUUGGACAAUGGUAGGAGAGCGUUCUAAGGGCGUCGAAGCAUGAUCGCAAGGACAUGUGGAGCGCUUAGAAGUGAGAAUGCCGGUGUGAGUAGCGAAAGACGGGUGAGAAUCCCGUCCACCGAUUGACUAAGGUUUCCAGAGGAAGGCUCGUCCGCUCUGGGUUAGUCGGGUCCUAAGCUGAGGCCGACAGGCGUAGGCGAUGGAUAACAGGUUGAUAUUCCUGUACCACCUAGUAUCGUUUUAA
rnacentral:rRNA from 1 species